rnacentral:rRNA from 1 species
CCUUCGGGGUGAGCGGCGGACGGGUUAGUAACGCGUGGGAACGUACCCUUCUCUACGGAAUAGCCAUUGGAAACGAUGAGUAAUACCUUAUACGCCCUACGGGGGAAAGAUUUAUCGGAGAAGGAUUAGCCCGCGUUAGAUUAGGUAGUUGGUGGGGUAAUGGCCUACCAAGCCUACGAUCUAUAGCUGGUUUGAGAGGAUGAUCAGCCACACUGGGACUGAGACACGGCCCAGACUCC